UACGGAGGGGGCUAGCGUUGUUCGGAAUUACUGGGCGUAAAGCGCACGUAGGCGGAUAGUUAAGUCGGGGGUGAAAUCCCGGGGCUCAACCCCGGAACUGCCUUCGAUACUGGCUGUCUAGAGUUCUGGAGGGGUGAGUGGAAUUCCGAGUGUAGAGGUGAAAUUCGUAGAUAUUCGGAGGAACACCAGUGGCGAAGGCGGCUCACUGGCCAGAUACUGACGCUGAGGUGCGAAAGCGUGGGGAGCAAACAGG
rnacentral:rRNA from 1 species